UUGUUGUUUGUAGAGAAGAAACGCAUGGUGUUCUUAGGCCACCGGCAAGUACGGCGUGUGUUUCUGCUCUGUGAACACUUAUUUAAAUUCAAAAAUUGGGGUGUUUUUUAAAUAAAUUUAUAGCCAUAAAAUGGACGGAAUUAAGGUGGAACAAGCUGAAGAGCCAGAACCUCAAGCCACAGCAGGAGGUAAAGAAAGAUUAAUUGAAGUGAAUUCGCCAAAACCAAUCAAAUUGGAAGUUAGGGUGCGCAUCCCGAUAAAAGAACAUCCAAAGUUUAACUUUGUUGGGAAACUUCUUGGACCAAGAGGAAAUUCACUAAAGAGAAUGCAGGAGGAGACAAAAACCAGAAUAUCUAUCCUAGGAAAAGGCUCUAUGAGAGAUAAACAGAAGGAGGAAGAACUGAGGAAUGAAGGAAACCCCAAAUAUUCACACUUGCAUGAUGAGUUACAUGUACAUAUUGAGGCCUACGCACAAGUAGUGGAGGCAUACCAGAGAAUGGCCACUGCCCUUGGAGAAAUACAGUACCACCUUGUACCUGACAACAACGAUGAUAUUAGGAUGCAUCAGAUCCAAGAACUUGCGAUGAUCAAAGGAACAUUCCCUGAACCACAGAUGGGGGGUAGGGGCCGAAGAGGUGGGCUUCCACUUCGAGGGGGUCCACCACCAAGAGGAAGGGGACUACCACCUCGAGGUGGCCCAGCAUUGAGGGGUCCAGUAAGAGGAGGACCAAGAGGAGGAUUGAGGGGAGCAGCACCGGCAGGUCGAGGUGCAUUGAGGGGCGGUCCGUCAAGAGGUGCAGCUAGAGGAGGGUACGGAGGCCAAGGAGGAUAUCAAGCCUCAGUUGGCGCAAAUGAUUAUUAUGAAUAUGGACAGCAGUAUGACCAAUCAUAUGAUGAAGGAUACAACACACAAGGGUGGCGAUGACAGUUGGGGACAAUCCUCCUUGCAAGCGAAGGCUCCCGCCCAGAAGACGAACGCAAGGGCUCAUCCAUACACUAGUGAGGGAUUUUGGAAAUGAUGUCUGAAAGUAUAAGGAUGAUUUGCUACUGUGUGGAUGAUUAAUAAUGGCUUGAGCCUUCACAUGCUAGGACGUAAGAUCCAGAGCUUAGACAAUCAAUUUGUGAAAAAAAACAACCAAAUUUUAGAAUUAGAUUAAAAAGAAUGUACUACAGGAUAUUGUUAUGGAUUCUCUUCUAUCAUUCCAACAUACUAACCGGAGGGAAGUUCGUCCUAUGAAAUGAUAUUUUAGCUCUCUGAUGAAUUGGUAUUCACAACAAAGAGGAUUUUGUAUUAAAACAAUUUCAAAGAAUGUCUGGUCAUUUGUAACUUUAUCAGUUUAAAAUUUCUUGCAUAUAAAAGAAAGGAAAUGUUGACUCGAGAUUUUUUACAUGGUGUGGUUGGUUUGAAAUAUUA
rnacentral:misc_RNA from 1 species